rnacentral:lncRNA from 1 species
GNAGGAGAAGGAGACGUCCUUCACGUGAGAGAUCUCUUUCUCCGGAAGCAUUUUUGCAGUCUUCUCUUGAGAAUUNUGCACCAGAUUUUGAGGAGAUGGCUAAUCAACCUCCUCCUAGAUGCANAUUGGGGGAUGCAGCAAANGCAGUAGGCCCCUUNAACUUCAACAGUNUUGCGGUUCCAGCUGAUAAUGCAACCANCAUGGUGAUGAGUCNGNCGC